CCAUUUAACUGGCAUGGGAGAGAUCAUGAGCUCAAAGGCCAUUCUCCCAGGACGAGGCAAUCCCAUUGCACUUCAGGUGUGCUGACGCCUGCGAUGUCCCGAAAUGUGGGAUAGUCGACUACAGAAUUUGUGGUAGUGAAGGAUUGUGUUCGCACUCUCCCCUG